GAUGAACGCUGGCGGCGUGCCUAAUACAUGCAAGUCGAGCGAACAGAUAAGGAGCUUGCUCCUUUGACGUUAGCGGCGGACGGGUGAGUUACACGUGGAUAACCUACCUAUAAGACUGGGAUAACUUCGGGAAACCGGAGCUAAUACCGGAUAACAUAUUGAACCGCAUGGUUCAAUAGUGAAAGGCGGCUUUGCUGUCACUUAUAGAUGGAUCCGCGCCGUAUUAGCUAGUUGGUAAGGUAACGGCUUACCAAGGCAACGAUACGUAGCCGACCUGAGAGGGUGAUCGGCCACACUGGAACUGAGACACGGUCCAGACUCCUACGGGAGGCAGCAGUAGGGAAUCUUACGCAAUGGGCGAAAGCCUGACGGAGCAACGCCGCGUGAGUGAUGAAGGUCUUCGGAUCGUAAAACUCUGUUAUCAGGGAAGAACAAAUGUGUAAGUAACUGUGCACAUCUUGACGGUACCUGAUCAGAAAGCCACGGCUAACUACGUG
rnacentral:rRNA from 1 species